rnacentral:rRNA from 1 species
AGAGUUUGAUCCUGGCUCAGAUUGAACGCUGGCGGCAUGCCUUACACAUGCAAGUCGAACGGUAACGCGGGGGCAACCCUGGCGACGAGUGGCGAACGGGUGAGUAAUACAUCGGAACAUAUCCAGUAGCGGGGGAUAACCUAUCGAAAGAUGGACUAAUACCGCAUACGAUCUACGGAUGAAAGCAGGGGACCGCAAGGCCUUGCACUAUUGGAGUGGCCGAUGUCGGAUUAGCUAGUUGGUGAGGUAAAGGCUUACCAAGGCGACGAUCCGUAACUGGUCUGAGAGGACGAUCAGCCACACUGGAACUGAGACACGGUCCAGACUCCUACGGGAGGCAGCAGUGGGGAAUUUUGGACAAUGGGCGCAAGCCUGAUCCAGCCAUGCCGCGUGAGUGAAGAAGGCCUUCGGGUUGUAAAGCUCUUUCGGUGAAGACGAAACGGUUAGCGCUAAUAACGCUGACUAAUGACGGUACUCACAGAAGAAGCACCGGCUAACUACGUGCCAGCAGCCGCGGUAAUACGUAGGGUGCAGGCGUUAAUCGGAAUUACUGGGCGUAAAGCGUGCGCAGGCGGUUUGCUAAGACAGGUGUGAAAUCCCCGAGCUUAACUUGGGAAUUGCGCUUGUAACUGGCAAGCUAGAGUGUGGCAGAGGGGGGUGGAAUUCCACGUGUAGCAGUGAAAUGCGUAGAUAUGUGGAGGAACACCGAUGGCGAAGGCAGCCCCCUGGGUUAACACUGACGCUCAUGCACGAAAGCGUGGGGAGCAAACAGGAUUAGAUACCCUGGUAGUCCACGCCCUAAACUAUGUCAACUAGUUGUCGGGGAAGAAAUUCCUUGGUAACGAAGCUAACGCGUGAAGUUGACCGCCUGGGGAGUACGGCCGCAAGGUUAAAACUCAAAGGAAUUGACGGGGACCCGCACAAGCGGUGGAUUAUGUGGAUUAUUCGAUGCAACGCGAAAAACCUUACCUACCCUUGACAUGCUAGGAAGCCCGCAGAGAUGUGGGUGUGCCCGAAAGGGAACCUAGACACAGGUGCUGCAUGGCUGUCGUCAGCUCGUGUCGUGAGAUGUUGGGUUAAGUCCCGCAACGAGCGCAACCCUUGCCAUUAGUUGCUACAUUCAGUUGGGCACUCUAAUGGGACCGCCGGUGACAAACCGGAGGAAGGUGGGGAUGACGUCAAGUCCUCAUGGCCCUUAUGGGUAGGGCUUCACACGUAAUACAAUGGUCGGUACAGAGGGCUGCCAACCCGCAAGGGGGAGCUAAUCCCAGAAAGCCGAUCGUAGUCCGGAUUGUAGCCUGCAACUCGACUGCAUGAAGCCGGAAUCGCUAGUAAUCGCGGAUCAGCAUGUCGCCGUGAAUACGUUCCCGGGUCUUGUACACACCGCCCGUCACACCAUGGGAGUGGGUUCCACCAGAAGUAGUUAGCCUAACCGCAAGGAGGGCGAUUACCACGGUGAGAUUCAUGACUGGGGUGAAGUCGUAACAAGGUA